CCCCUAGAUGUUCUGGGCUGCACGCGUGCUACACUGAUAUUGCCAAUAUGUCAUUCUUAUCCGAAAUGGAUUGGGUAAUCAAGUAAUGAAAUUUCAUGCUUGGAAUCGGUAAUUGCAAUUUUAUCGUGAACGAGGAAUUCCUAGUAAGCACUAGUCAUCAGCUAAUGUUGAUUAUGUCCCUGCCCUUUGUACACACCGCCCGUCGCUACUACUGAUUGGGUGUUCAAGUGAGAUGCUUAGACCCUUGUUGCAUGGUUCAUUAUUGUGCUCCGAAAGGAAAAAGUUUCAAGCUUGAGUGUCUAGAGGAAGUAAAAGUCGUAACA
rnacentral:rRNA from 1 species